GCGUGUGUGAAGAAGGCCUGCGGGUUGUAAAGCACUUUCAAUCGGGAAGAAAAGUUUUGAGAUAAUACCUUAGAAUCUUGACGUUACCAAUAGAAGAAGCACCGGCUAACUUCGUGCCAGCAGCCGCGGUAAUACGAAGGGUGCAAGCGUUAAUCGGAAUUACUGGGCGUAAAGCGUACGUAGGCGGUUAUGUAAGUCGGAUGUGAAAUACCUGGGCUUAACCUGGGAAUUGCAUUCGAUACUGCUUAACUAGAGUACAAUAGAGGAAAGCGGAAUUCCUAGUGUAGCGGUGAAAUGCGU
rnacentral:rRNA from 1 species